rnacentral:ncRNA from 1 species
AAUAGAGGCGCGGCUGUUCAAGAGUACCGCGGGGAGGGCGACCGGGCCCGGAGAACCGUGAGAAAGGGGAGGCCGCCGAAGGGACGUUCCCCGGCGGGGCGUUUACCUGGUUGCCCGGUGAAGAUCCGUGCGACUGUCGCCGCAAACGCGGCGGAGUGCUGUCUG